rnacentral:rRNA from 1 species
UAAGAUCGGUGGUAAAUCUCAUCGAAGGCUAAAUACUUGUGAUAGACCGAUAGCGAACAAGUACCGUGAGGGAAAGUUGACAAGCACUUUGAAAAGAGGGUGAAAAGAACCUGAAACCGUUACGGCAGAAGCGUAUUGCUGUCGAAGUGCCAAGUAUGCGUUGUUCAAUAAAAAAUCCUUUUAUGUAUUCAACGUUAUAUUUUCCGCGCAUGUAUUGUAAGUGAUGGAUUUUGCAUUACUUGCGGUAGAGGUAUCCCUCUUUACGAGGUGAAGAUGCGCGGGUCUAGACGCGAUGCGACCCGUCUUGAAACACGGACCAAGGAGUGUAGCACAUUUGCGAGUCAAAGGGUUUUGAAACCUGAGGGCGAAGUGAAAGCGAAAAAUAGAAAAUAUGCUAUUUGAGGCGGCAUACGAUCGUUGAUUGUACGUCCGACCUGGAGCAAAUGUGGUACGACCCGAAAGAUGGUGAACUAUGCCGGGGUAGGGCGAAGCCAGAGGAAACUCUGGUGGAGGCUCGUAGCGGUGCUGACGUGCAAAUCGCUCGUCUAACCUGGGUAUAGGGGCGAAAGACUAAUCGAACCAUCUAGUAGCUGGU